CAUGUUUAAUGGUCACGUGCUGUGAAAGGGACUGAAGAGCGGGUUGGCAGGGGAGAUCACUUGCUGUGUGAUUCCUGCGUGUGUACUUGUCCUAGCACAGUAGCUGUGUGGAGAAACCGAAGUGAGUUCAUGAUGUUCUCCCAUAGAAAUGUAUGUUUAAAAGAGAGUUUACAGUGCACUUUAUUGCCAGUUGACCUGCGAAGUUGUGGGAUGUAAACAAUGUGUUUAUUUGUUUUGUUUUCUCUUUUUUUGUUGUAUUUGUUUCUUGACAGGUCACUACUGUUGUCUAUACUGUUUGGAUUUAACAUGUACAUAUGAUAGUUACUGUUGUCUCAGACCCUGAAAGGCAGUUUAGGCUGAGCCAGUGGAAUAGUUAAAUUUUGCCGUUUCACUCAAAACUACAGAAUUAAAACUGUGCUCCUCCGAGUACAGUCGGAGAAUAAAAAAGCCCACAAAAGAGUA